AUUGAACGCUGGCGGCGUGGAUUAGGCAUGCAAGUCGAGCGGAGAGAGGUAGCUUGCUACUGAUCUUAGCGGCGGACGGGUGAGUAAUGCUUAGGAAUCUGCCUAUUAGUGGGGGACAACAUUUCGAAAGGAAUGCUAAUACCGCAUACGUCCUACGGGAGAAAGCAGGGGAUCUUCGGACCUUGCGCUAAUAGAUGAGCCUAAGUCGGAUUAGCUAGUUGGUGGGGUAAAGGCCUACCAAGGCGACGAUCUGUAGCGGGUCUGAGAGGAUGAUCCGCCACACUGGGACUGAGACACGGCCCAGACUCCUACGGGAGGCAGCAGUGGGGAAUAUUGGACAAUGGGCGGAAGCCUGAUCCAGCCAUGCCGCGUGUGCGAAGAAGGCCUUAUGGUUGUAAAGCACUUUAAGCGAGGAGGAGGCUACUUUAGUUAAUACCUAGAGAUAGUGGACGUUACUCGCAGAAUAAGCACCGGCUAACUCUGUGCCAGCAGCCGCAGUAAAAC
rnacentral:rRNA from 1 species